GAUGAACGCUAGCGACAGGCUUAACACAUGCAAGUCGAGGGGCAGCACAGGUAGCAAUACCGGGUGGCGACCGGCGCACGGGCGAGUAACGCGUAUGCAACUUACCUAUCAGAGGGGGAUAACCCGGCGAAAGUCGGACUAAUACCGCAUGAAGCAGGGGUCCCGCAUGGGGAUAUUUGCUAAAGAUUCAUCGCUGAUAGAUAGGCAUGCGUUCCAUUAGGCAGUUGGCGGGGUAACGGCCCACCAAACCGACGAUGGAUAGGGGUUCUGAGAGGAAGGUCCCCCACAUUGGUACUGAGACACGGACCAAACUCCUACGGGAGGCAGCAGUGAGGAAUAUUGGUCAAUGGCCGAGAGGCUGAACCAGCCAAGUCGCGUGAGGGAUGAAGGUUCUAUGGAUCGUAAACCUCUUUUAUAAGGGAAUAAAGUGCGGGACGUGUCCCGUUUUGUAUGUACCUUAUGAAUAAGGAUCGGCUAACUCCGUG
rnacentral:rRNA from 1 species